rnacentral:rRNA from 1 species
CCUACGGGGGGCAGCAGUGGGGAAUAUUGCACAAUGGGGGAAACCCUGAUGCAGCGACGCCGCGUGAGCGAUGAAGUAUUUCGGUAUGUAAAGCUCUAUCAGCAGGGAAGAAAAUGACGGUACCUGACUAAGAAGCCCCGGCUAACUAUGUGCCAGCAGCCGCGGUAAUACGUAGGGGGCAAGCGUUAUCCGGAUUUACUGGGUGUAAAGGGAGCGUAGACGGCAGGGCAAGUCUGGAGUGAAAGGCAGGGGCCCAACCCCUGGACUGCUCUGGAAACUGUCCGGCUGGAGUGCAGGAGAGGUAA